GGGGAUGUAGCUCAGCUGGAGAGCACUUGCUUGGCAUGCUAAGAGGUGCAGGGAUCAACCCCCAGCAUCUCCA
rnacentral:tRNA from 1 species